GCCGGCCCGCCCGGCGGACCCUCCUUCGCUCCCCGGCCCGCGGAGCGCGCGGAGAGGCGCCUCUAGCCUCUCAUCGCUCGGGGGAGCCGAGGACGCGGCGCCCGGAGACUCCGGCGACCGCCGGAUGUGCUUCCAUGGCGGACGCCGCGCGCCCAGGGAUAGGAGAGAGGCCAUGAUCGACGAAGCACGAAGAAGGGAAGAAAGCGGUGGCAGCUGCCUGGAAAACUGGUUGCAGGUGGACCUAGCCCUAGUGCUGGGAGGAAACGUUGGAUACUUGGGCUUUUGAGGAAAUACCCGCGUCAGUGCCAGACAGGCGAGCCAGAGAACGGAAUCUCCCUUUUCCUCCUGUAACAGAUGUUGGUCUAUGUUUUCAUGAGUAAUGUAUUCAAAAAUGGUCCGCGAGGGACUUCAGUACAUCUGCUUAGCCCUUAAUUCACCUGAGUUGUAAAUUUAAUUCAGGGGCUUCCUUGAAACCAAGCGACGUAGGACCCAGAGCUGAAGAUUUUGCCGCAAUGGCUUGAACACAUCACUGGGAAACAAGACAGUUUUUAAUCAUCUCAAGUACUCUGUCUCUACCUGCAAUCAAAACUCCUCAAUUCCGCCCCAUUAUAUUCACUCGUUAAAGAGGUGCCCCCCGAAGAGGAGAGGAUAAAUACGUAGCCCACUUUUAGAGGGUACCGUAAAUAGCCUUCCCGUUUUCCUGCCACUCUUGCUUCCUGCAGUACCUUUCCAUUCCACGAAUUCCUUUCCUGUUGUUCUCUGUCUCCAAAGACAAGCCGACAAAAUCUGAGCAGAAAUCUCUUGAUUUAAUAAAUAUAUCCUGGCCAAAAAAAUAAAAUAUAUAUAUAUAUAUAUAUAUAUAUCCUGGCCAUAACCUAGCUGUCUCACUCUGUAAACUAUGCCCUAAGCAGCAGUAUUAUGAACAAAUACUGCAUAUGAAAAUACAUUAUGGGAUAAUGACUUUGCGGAAGAUUUAAUACAAGGUUCCUAUGAAGAAAAUGAAUCCAGUGCAAUUAUGAUGCAUUUGCCAAAAAAAAAAAAAAAAAAUCAUGCUUUUUUUUAAAAAAAUAGAUGGUCUAAUUCUAUUGCAUAAAUAAAACAUUUUAUGUGUUAAAAUCCAAUUAAAUAGUUGAAAAUAACACAAGAACUGGAAGAAUUUAAAGCUUUUUAUUUUCCAUUCCCGUGUAUUGAAUACGUAUGUAAUAGAUGCCAGACACUCUUGUAAAUGCUGGCAACACAGCAGUGAACGAGACAAGGUGUUUAUACUCAAGAUGCUUAUAUUGGAAGGUACAGACAAUAAGCAUAAAUAGGGAAAUCUCAAACCGCUAAUUCUUAUAAGGAAAACAAGCAGGACAGUGGGGUAAAGAUAAGGGUGUUAUUUUAGAUUGGGGGGCAUCAGAGAAGCCCUGAGUAAGUGACAUUUAAUCUGAGACCUGAAUGACAAGAAAGAUCCAGCUAUGGAAAUACCUAGAGUGUACUAGGUAACAGGAGCAACUAGUACAGAAGCCACAAGGAGCAAACAAACAGCCAUUCCUCUAGACCUUGGUAGUAUUUCUCAACCCCAGGUGCACAUUCUGAAUGACCUAGGGAGAUUUAAAAUUUACAAAUGGCCAGACCAAAUGACUCAGAAUCUCUAGAGGUCAGUGCCAAGCAUAGUACUUUUUAAAAGCUCCCCAGUGACUCUAAUGUGCACCCAUGGUUAACCAUUGCUCUAAAGCUCUCAAAGAAUGAGAGCGGCAUUAGCAUUACCUGGGAACUUGUUGGAACUCCAAGUUCUCAGGACCUACUUCAGCCAGACCUAUUAACCCAAAACUCUGGGGUAAUCCCAGGAAAAAAAAAAUAAACAUAUAUAUAUAUAUAUGUCAUAAUCAAUGGAGUCAGUGAAAAGUGGAAAGAUUUAGGAUAUGUUUUAGAAGGAGAACUGCAUCGGGGGGAUUGGCUGAUACAUUAAUUAGAUGUGAAAACAGGUGAGGAAAAGAAAUCAAACAUGAUUUCUGGGUUUGUAGCCUGGGCUUCUAGGUGAAUGUCUGUGCCCUUUCUUGAAAGGUCAGAUGAUGCAGCCAUCUCCCCAGAAUGCUUUACGGACUCUUGUCUUUACAAAAAUCCUUAACUGCCUGGGCAAAGGCUGUAGUUGGUGACUGGGUAAAAUCACACAACCAAAAACCAGUCUCUUAACUCUUGAUCAAAAGUCCAAGGGCUUUUCCACUAAAUCAUGCUGCCAUGGGUCCCUCAUUUGCUAUAUUAGCAUUGAUUCGUAUUUUCAAGGAUUAAUUCUGUAAGGAUUUUCAGGUAUAGGGUCUUGAGGUUACUCUUGAGCCACAGUCAUUUCUGGAGCCCUCCUACUUCCUGUUCUCAUCCCUGUAUAAAAUGCUCCGCCCCUUCCUUUCUGACCUACUUAUCCUUAGAUGCCGGUCCAAAUUCCUCCUCAGUAAGAGGAGGUCUAUGCAGUAAGACUUCCUGGUUUCCUGUUCCAGUCACUUGUCCGUCUAGCUCCUCUAAGCCAGUGGUUCUCAGCCUUACUUACACGUUGGAGUUCUCCAGGAAGUUUUAAGAACAGAUUCUCUGGUUUCACGUCAGGCAUAUGAAAGGUGGGGAGGGAGAUACAGAGGGUCUGUAACUGUGUAACAUCCUCUAGGUUUUGAUGCACAGUCAACAUUGAGAAACACUGGCAUAAACUAUAUUCAGAAAUAAAUUAAGUACUUACCUUAUGAUA